AUUGAACGCUGGCGGAAUGCUUUACACAUGCAAGUCGAACGGCAGCACGGGGGCAACCCUGGUGGCGAGUGGCGAACGGGUGAGUAACACAUCGGAACGUGCCCAGUCGUGGGGGAUAACGUAGCGAAAGCUACGCUAAUACCGCAUACGAUCUACGGAUGAAAGCGGGGGAUCGCAAGACCUCGCGCGAUGGGAGCGGCCGAUGGCAGAUUAGGUAGUUGGUGGGGUAAAGGCUCACCAAGCCGACGAUCUGUAGCUGGUCUGAGAGGGCGACCAGCCACACUGGGACUGAGACACGGCCCAGACUCCUACGGGAGGCAGCAGUGGGGAAUUUUGGACAAUGGGCGCAAGCCUGAUCCAGCCAUUCCGCGUGCAGGAUGAAGGCCCUCGGGUUGUAAACUGCUUUUGUACGGAACGAAACGGCUCUCUCUAAUACAGGGGGCUAAUGACGGUACCGUAAGAAUAAGCACCGGCUAACUACGUGCCAGCCGCCGCCGUAA
rnacentral:rRNA from 1 species